AGAGUUUGAUCAUGGCUCAGGACGAACGCUGGCGGCGUGCCUAAUACAUGCAAGUCGAACGAGAAUUUCUUACACCGAGUGCUUGCACUCACCGUAAGAAAUUCGAGUGGCGGACGGGUGAGUAACACGUGGGUAACCUGCCCAAAAGAAGGGGAUAACAUUUGGAAACAAAUGCUAAUACCGUAUAACCAUGAUGACCGCAUGGUCAUUAUGUAAAAGGUGGUUUUGCUAUCGCUUUUGGAUGGACCCGCGGCGUAUUAACUAGUUGGUAGGGUAACGGCCUACCAAGGUGAUGAUACGUAGCCGAGUUGAGAGACUGAUCGGCCACAAUGGGACUGAGACACGGCCCAUACUCCUACGGGAGGCAGCAGUAGGGAAUCUUCCACAAUGGGCGCAAGCCUGAUGGAGCAACGCCGCGUGAAUGAAGAAGGUCUUCGGAUCGUAAAGUUCUGUUGUUAGAGAAGAAUAUGAGUAAUAGUAACUGAUUAUUCACUGACGGUAUCUAACCAGCAAGUCACGGCUAACUACGUGCCAGCAGCCGCGGUAAUACGUAGGUGGCAAGCGUUGUCCGGAUUUAUUGGGCGUAAAGGGAACGCAGGCGGUUUUUUAAGUCUGAUGUGAAAGCCUUCGGCUUAACCGGAGAUGUGCAUUGGAAACUGGAAGACUUGAGUGCAGAAGAGGAGAGUGGAACUCCAUGUGUAGCGGUGAAAUGCGUAGAUAUAUGGAAGAACACCAGUGGCGAAAGCGGCUCUCUGGUCUGUAACUGACGCUGAGGUUCGAAAGCAUGGGUAGCGAACAGGAUUAGAUACCCUGGUAGUCC
rnacentral:rRNA from 1 species